UACCAGCUAUACAUAAGUAGACUCACACUGCUCCCAAAAUGCAAAAGAGGAGGAGGCAUCCCACAUAGCUGAGAAUUCAGUAAAGGAGUCAAAAAUGUGGAGAAAGACGUAAAAGAAGAAGAAGAAGAAGAAACAAGGGGAUCUCCUUGGAUUUUCUCCGUCCCCACAUUAGGCUGGGGACUCCUGCGUUGCCACGAAGGCUGGGGAGAAAGGAGAGAAGGAGAAGAGCAGCACCAUUCCUGGGAUCACUGGAGCUCAGUGCUGGCACCCAGCCCAGCCAGACCUGGAGCUGCAGCACCCUGAGCACCACAGCUGAGAGGAGCAGUGCCUGCCUGUGCCUCUGGGCACUCACCCAGCAAACCUGGCAGCUGGAACACCAGUAUUCCAGAGCAAUAGGAUCAUACUAGUGAAGAAAAGCAGCAGUUCAGAAAAUUUCUAAGGAGCAACAAUAUUUUAUGAACUGUGAUUGCAGCCUAAUGGGUGAAAUCCCCAGGGAUCAGCUUCCCAAAGGGCAUGCAGAUUUUUCAGAGGUAGGCAAGGUAUAAAGAACCUCAGGCUCUAAACCACCAACCAGCAUGAAGACUCUGCAUUGCCAGUUGUGGAUUUAGCAAAAUAAAACUCCAACCUGCACAGGUAUAUGAAUGCAGAGCAACAAGGUUUAAUCCUACAUAUGCUAGAAACUGGAUGAAGAAAUGUUUUUGAGAGAAAACUUGUGUAAUUUUAAGCCCAUUCCUUUUCAGUAAAAUAAAAAGGAGAAGUAAUA